GCAAGUCGAGCGGUAACACAAGGCAUCCUGCUCCUGAGGUCACGAGCGGCGGACGGGUGAGUAAUGCCUAGGUAUCUGCCCAGUCGAGGGGGAUAACAGUUGGAAACGACUGCUAAUACCGCAUACGCCCUACGGGAGAAAGGAGGGGACCUUCGGGCCUUGCGCGAUUGGAUGAACCUAGGUGGGAUUAGCUAGUAGGUGAGGUAAUGGCUCACCUAGGCAACGAUCCCUAGCUGGUCUGAGAGGAUGAUC
rnacentral:rRNA from 1 species